ACAAGCUAGUCCGUUGACCAGGGUUGACGCGGGCCGCGUAACCCCUGUCCUUUCUUUACGCGGGCCGCGUGGGAACCAGUUUCAGCAACUAUAUAUAGAGGCCAUCGGAUUUCAUUUGGAAUUCGCUCACGAACGUUUUCUUCUCUCAAAUCUGAAUAUUAGGCAUAAUACUCGGGUAUUAUACCCCCAUAAUUAGCGAAGCUCUGCCUCGUUAUUAUAACCAGGAAGUCACAAAGGAAAGCCCUAUAAUAGCAAUUCUACAGUAUGGGUAACUUAGUGUGAAGCCAAUAAAAGCCAGCUG
rnacentral:lncRNA from 1 species